AACGCACCUUGCGCUCUUUGGUUAUUCCGAAGAGCAUGCCUGUUUGAGUGUCGCGAACCUCUCAACCCCGCCAAUUCUUUAUUGAAUCGGUAGUUUCGGGUUUGGAUCAUGGUCUCUUGCCGAAUUAAUGUCUCGGCUAGACUGAAAUAUAACAAGCUGGAUAAAUUGAUAAGUGCGGCUUGACCUGACGUUGUAGUGCCUAAUAAUCAACUCGUCGGGGACGCAUUAGACUUUUUAAUGAGCUUUACAAUACACGUUGCUUUCGAGCGAUUAGUGCAUUUUGACCUCAAAUCAGGUAGGACUACCCGCUGAACUUAA
rnacentral:misc_RNA from 1 species